ACUGAACGCUGGCGGCAUGCUUUACACAUGCAAGUCGAACGGUAACAGGUUAAGCUGACGAGUGGCGAACGGGUGAGUAAUGCAUCGGAACGUGCCCGAUCGUGGGGGAUAACGCAGCGAAAGCUGCGCUAAUACCGCAUACGAUCUGAGGAUGAAAGUGGGGGACCGUAAGGCCUCGCGCGAUCGGAGCGGCCGAUGUCAGAUUAGGUAGUUGGUGGGGUAAAGGCCCACCAAGCCGACGAUCUGUAGCUGGUCUGAGAGGACGACCAGCCACACUGGGACUGCGACACGGCCCCGACUCCUACGGGAGGAAGCAGUGGGGAAUUUUGGACAAUGGGCGAAAGCCUGAUCCAGCAAUGCCGCGUGCAGGAAGAAGGCCUUCGGGUUGUAAACUGCUUUUGUACGGAGCGAAAAGGUCCUUUCUAAUACGAGGGGCUCAUGACGGUACCGUAAGAAUAAGCACCGGCUAACUACGUGCCAGCCGCCGCAGUAA
rnacentral:rRNA from 1 species